AUGUUGACUGUGUCGAGGCAGGGCAGAUGUGUGUGUGGAGAACAGGCCCAGUGCUUUCCUCAGUUCAGCUCUGCUCUGUCCAUUCCUUCUGUGGGUGAUGCAUACACAGCCUCAGGUAUGAACCAUGAGACUUGGGAGCCACUGACACAGGAGAGACCAGCAUGGCAUGCCAUCAUAAAAGAAGGCACUAUAUUCUAUGAGCAAGGAAGAAUUUCAAUAGCUCAAAAGAGAUACUUGAGAUGCAUAAAGUUAGAGACAUCUCUAUCCCAAGAGUUCAUACAGGCAAUUUGUGCUUGACUUGUUUAGUGUCUUCCAAGCUUAAGCUUGUUAUUGGUAUGAGCAGCCAAUGUCAGACACACCAUACAUUGACCCUGACAUUAUGAUGCCAUUUUGGUUCUCUUCAAAUAUGAAGGACCAACCAAGACAGUUUGUUCACCCCUUUUUGUUACCAUGCUUUUUUUGGCUUUUUUUUUUUUGGUUGACCUGGAAAGUUUUUCCUGCUUCAGAAGGAAGAAAAGAGAAAUGUUAUUUAGAAGUUUCUUUGUUGCCUUCUAGCCUCUGAUUCUCCUUAAGGGAAUGAGUUUGUGCCUGUGUGCUCUGAUGUGAGCCAUUGCUCAUGUUUAGAAUGUGGUCCAUCCUUUUCUCUGCAGACUGAAUUUUUUUUUUCUUUAUAGCCCAUUUCAGGCUUCCCCAAUAUUUUCUGCAAACAGUAGUCUCUUCAUCCUCAGAUUUUCCUAACACUUUUUUUGGGGAGGGGUCUCUCCUUUUCAUUAAUCACUUUCUACCCCUUAUCACAUUUCUUUGUGCAUUAUGUGAAAUAAGCCCAAUUGGUGAUGUAAUUGAAAUUUUUGUAACAUUUGAAAAACUCAAACAUUUUUUCAUACACUAUCUACAUUUAUCCUUUUCAUGACUUUAUGAGGAAAUUGUUGAAAAUACAAUUAUUCUCAUUUUACAUGCAAGGAAACUGAAACUAAGAGAUGUUAAAUGACUGUACAGGCAGUUAAUGUCAGAGUUAGGAUUUGAACCCAGGUUUUCCAGGCUCUUAGAUCAUCUAUCUAAUCACUAUGUCACAAUGUUUCAGUAAAGUAUUAAAGUAGGUUGUAUAUAUGUUUGUUGACUGAAUAUUACAUGAGAAAGCUAUAGUAAUCAGAGUUUGUCCACUUAUCCUUUGUCUUGAAGAGGACCAAUGACAUUAUUACCUUGAAAAUCAGAUUUAAAUGAGGUAGAACUGCACAAAAGUGUCAGGCUCAUUCUCUCUUCUAAUUUCAGGAUGACUGAUGAUGGCCCAGAAUUCAGUAGAUGACUUUGGCAUCUUUGAUAUCUAACUGAGCUCUAAGUACUCCGAAGCACCAGCAUUAGCCACUGUCAUGGCCAUUCCAUCAGGGAAAAUCUUUGCAUGCUUGGGGUAGACAUCCCUCUAACUCACUGAUGGGUUGAGACCUGUCCAUUACCCUCAAAUUGGUGUAUUCCUAUGCCAGGGUGGUUUUACACACAGGAUAUGAUUGAGGCUAACACUAUAGCUUCUUGGGGCCAUAGGUGGGAGUUGAGUCAAAAGAAGAACUAAAAGUAGAUGAGCAGCCCUGAAAAAGGCUCAGGAAGUCCUCACACCAGAGAUGCUAGUUCUUCCUGAGCAAUGCAUACACAACAGAGUUAGGUGUCUUGAUUUCAGCAUGUAGAGCAACUUAUUUCUGUUUAGACAUUUGUUCCCAGAUGGGGCAACAGUUUCUUUUAAACCUAUUUUCAGUUCAAAGUCAGAAACAUGGAGGAUUAUUUAAACAUACUUGCUAAUUGGGGAAAAAUGAUAGUUUAAGAGAACUGUGGAAACUACUUGCUGGAGCUUUUCUCUCUGAAUGCUGGAGCUAUAAAAAUUCCAAACUUCUCUUUCCUCUCAGCACCUGAGGAUCAUUAUUGGACUUUAGUUGUAAGAUGUCUUAUCAGAGUUCUGGCUUCCCAUGCAAUCAUCUGCCAUGGCAAGGGCAACCAAACAGAUUUCCAGGAGCUGAGGUCCCCUUACUGAAUUCAAAUGUCAGCUGUUUUGAUGGAAAGGGAAAAAAAAUCAAAGUAAUAAACAAGGAUAAAUAGAAGAUUUUAGAGAUAAU
rnacentral:lncRNA from 1 species